GACGAACGCUGGCGGCGUGCUUAACACAUGCAAGUCGAACGAUGAAGCGGUGCUUGCACCGUGGAUGAGUGGCGAACGGGUGAGUAAUGCGUGAGUGACCUGCCCCCUUCUUCGGGAUAAGCCUUGGAAACGGGGUCUAAUACCGGAUAUUCCCUUCCUUCUGCAUGGUUGGUUGGGGAAAGUUUUUUCGGUGGGGGAUGGGCUCGCGUCCUAUCAGCUUGUUGGUGGGGUGAUGGCCUACCAAGGCGUCGACGGGUAGCCGGCCUGAGAGGGUGACCGGCCACACUGGGACUGAGAUACGGCCCAGACUCCUACGGGAGGCAGCAGUGGGGGAUAUUGCACAAUGGGCGCAAGCCUGAUGCAGCGACGCCGCGUGAGGGAUGACGGCUUUCGGGUUGUAAACCUCUUUUACUAUCGAACAAGGCACAGUCUUUUGUGGUGUUGAGGGUAGGUGGUGAAUAAGCGCCGGCUAACUACGUGCCAGCAGCCGCGGUAAGAC
rnacentral:rRNA from 1 species